rnacentral:rRNA from 1 species
UACGUAGGGUGCAAGCGUUACUCGGAAUUACUGGGCGUAAAGCGUGCGCAGGCGGUUCGUUGUGUCGGCGGUGAAAGCCCCGGGCUUAACCUGGGAAUGGCCGUUGAAACUGGCGAACUGGAGUGUGGCAGAGGGGGGUGGAAUUCCGCGUGUAGCAGUGAAAUGCGUAGAGAUGCGGAGGAACACCGAUGGCGAAGGCAGCCCCCUGGGCUAACACUGACGCUCAGGCACGAAAGCGUGGGGAGCAAACAGG